CGGCGCUGAGGUCGCCGCCACACCUUGGCCCCUUGUGUCCUGUAAAUAACAAAAUGCACAGCUGGCAGCUAUCUCCGGAACACUUGGAGCGGCCGGCACGAUGAACUGGUAUGGAAAAGCCCCGCUUGACCACGCCUGCCAGUCAUUCUUCACUGUAGCCAUGGAACAAGGCUCCUGGUUGCACUUGCUGGAGUUCUACUUAAGGUUCGCUGUAGGUCAGGGAGUGUUCCAGACAUGCACAGGCUAUGCGGGUUAUCGAUAAGAGCUUGUGGUUUCGGCAAAGUCUCCUGGACCUUGUGGUGUGUCUCUGGCUCCUCCGGCCAUCAAGAACUAUACAGAAUACCGUAAAAUCUGACAUGCCAUGUAAUAUUUAUAUAUAUAUUGUACGAUACAGUGUCUUGAGGACACAGUGAAGCUCUGAAGGACUGUACAGGCCUCGAGGUAACAACAAUCUUUGAAAAUCACACACGCCUACCGAAGACCCCUUGAGUCAAGUCUACUGGCCUCAGCACACCCUGGUGGACAGAAUGUUUCUUCGGGGACAAGAUGUCCUGUGUGUUAAAUGAUUGAUAUCAUUAUCUGCUGGUCACAAUGCUGUGCACCAAGAGUUUGAGUCCACUCUGGUCAACAUUUUAUUAUAGGUUAACUCAAUUUGCCGAGAUCAUCGAUGUAAAUGAGUCUAGUCGUAGCGUCAUCUGUGUUUGAAGUGAACAAAAAGUAAAUGUACUGGCGCUGGCACGAAACGCUGACAAAAGAAUUUCAGAUAUGCGCUUGAGGCAGUGAGCGGUCUCUCCACACUGUGUGAUUCUUGGUAUCUGAUGAAGAAUGUGUUCACACGGGAAAGAAUGCGGUAUAUUUGUGAACCGUUUUAUUUUGGUAUAUCAUAAUAGUAGGACCUAAUUCGAUAGUCCCUAUUUUUUUUAAAUAUCAAGAAAGAUGUCAAAAAGUGUUUCACUCAAUAAGACAAAUGUUCCCUCUUUUCUUUUUUAUUCGGAACUGCGAAAAAAUUGCUAAGCUAACAUUGUAACUCGACACAGAUUAUAAAAUAAAUUUCAACUAAAAAUUUCAACAUAGCUUCACAUGUACUCUCGGUGAUGCUAAACAGCACAUUCCGGUUCUUAAAGGUGUGAGUCCGACGUGCGUUAAAAACACUGUUCCAAAAUGUAACAUAAUGAUUUAUAAGAAAACUCGGCGGAGGUUCCACUACGCCCAACUAAACAAAACAGCACAGGCAAGAAACCAAGUCGACAAAAAAAUUCGUCGCCUCCACAUCAGUAUAUUAAACUUCAUGUUUAGUCUUUUGUUCCUCCAAGCACGGUGUAGCGAACAUCAAACCUUGUGGCUAUGUGUGUUGUCUUUUCAUCGCAGCGUGAAUACUGUUUCGCCUCCAAGAAACGACAUGUGUUUACGGUGUUUUGCAUGGGUAGUUUCUUCGAGAAGUUUGAUAUGUUGAUCAAGUGUCACAAAUAAAAUAUUUUUUCUGUAUAUUUGUAAAUAUGUGAAAAAAUACUGUUUCCGAACUGAUUUAUCGCCUCCUUCUUGUGUUCGUCAGCCACGGUUAUUUCUAUGGGACGUUUCUAGAAGUGUACAAGGAAUCUGGUAUGCCUGCCACCGGAAGUUUUCAAUAUUCCAACGUUCAAUCCAGCAGUCCAAUAUGAUGGCUUAAAUAUAGAUGUACUGUGCGUACAACUGUUAAAAUUAACACUCGAGUAGCACCAGAAGAAACCAGUUGCGGCACCUGCUGGCCUUUGGUGGCAGUGUCAGGUGCUGUUCCUUUCGGCUGCUCCACCUUCACGUGAAAUUUCCUUGGUGGAUUCAGAGCGAUCGAGGAGCACUUAAUGCUCGCACUUUUAGUGCAAUAGAUGCGAGCGCGCGCUUGCACGCCCAAGAAAGUAGAAAAAAAAAGCAUUCCAAAACUACUCCAAAUUUCCAUCAGUUUCACCGAUAGACAGUUUCGACCAGUGCUGCGGUCGCUGUUCAUGCUUUACUUUUAACAGUUGCGCGCAUUGUGCACACUUCUCACAAGUGUCUUGCAGUAUUUGGGCGCAUUGUGCACACUUCAAGGUUUUCCUUCAUACUGGUUUAAAUAACUUCUGUCCAGGCUCAUUUGUAGCAAGCUGAAGCUCUUCCCUCAUUAACAAGUCCUGGGGUUUGGUGUUUUCAAAUGGGAGCAUUCACUUCACAAAGUGGCUUCAUUCGCUUAAUUACCCCCACAAUGGAUAUAGAGAAAUGACAUAUAGAAGAGUGUAAGUUGGACGAAGUUAACUGUGUUCAAAGUUUCUUCGGGUAUUUUUUUGAAACAGCAAGGUGUUUGAAAUGGUAAACAUUUUAAAUACUGUUCACUCAUUGUUAAAUGUAUGUUCUGCUCGCAAGAAGGAAAGCUUUCGUUUCGACUGUGAGGAAGUGUGAACGACUUCGAGGACGUGAUAUAAAUUAUACCUGAAGUGUAAAGAUUCAUUAGUUAGAAUAAUCACUAUCAUUACCAAUAACACUCAGGUUCACUGCCCAUGCUGGGUAGGUUAGGAAUUAAUUAGGAUUUACUCCCAAUAAGAAAUGGCUAAACUAUGACAGGUGUAGAGGCCUGUUCAAAUAAUUUACUACUUCUAUAUUUAUUACGAAAAAUAAUUGUAUUUAAUACUUUAAUGUCUGCAUGUUUCGCUGAUGUGCAUGUGGGAGUGUUUGUGUAUGUUGGAAAACUCUCGUAAGCUUGUCCUGCUAUAGCGACAAACAUCGGACAAACAGUGCUGGUAAACAACUUCGUUUUGCACUACAGUGUCAUCACAGGUCACGAAUGUGAAUAAGCUCAUAGUUGCGCGAGACCGCAAUUGAAAUCGCACAAUUUGUGUUUUUUUUUAUCUUGCAUUCUGCGUACAUGAACGCGACGCAGCAUUUUCUUGUACUCACAAAACAAAAUAGCGGCGUUUCAUAUUUCCACGAACAAGCCAUAACCGUUUGUUCAAUGCUAUCUUGUAUCAUACGUUUAAUGGCGCUGCCAACCAAAAUGUUUCUUAAACGUUUUCCUUUUUUUUUGCUAGCUUGUUUGCUUGGUAUCAUGAUACACUUGAUUAGUAUGCAGUUUCUGACUCCCGAGCAGACUGGUGAUUUCAGUCGUCCUUUUUAUGAAAAAAAAAAUAACGAAAAUGGCGAGUUCACCAAAGAAAGUUCAUCUGAUUAUCCACGAGUUUCCGAAAUAUGUUAUCGUUCUCGCAUUACAAAGUCGGCUGAAAGUAUGAGAUAGCCAUACGGGUAAACGUUACUUGCCACCGAUUGUACAUACGUUCGCACUCUAGCGGUGCGUGAAGUUGUCUACGGUGUCGCGUGAACCACAAUAAAAUUAUCCUAAAAGUUGGACGAAUGUACCAACGAGCGUUUGUCGUGAAUCGGGAAACAGCUGACGCCACCUGGCAUCAGUUUCGUGUUUCCCUUUGUUUGCCGUCGUGGCCUCCGAGAUUGCCGAUGUAUAAAGUUCUCCGCCGGUCGUUCCGUACUACUCACCGUCUAAGAGGAUCGAUACCAUUCUGCAGCGCUUCAACAAGUGAAGGUACAUUCUUCAAAACAAGGACUCGGCACCCGAUCAAGCAAGCACAAAGACGGUGCCUCUAAGCAACUCCUCUUAAGGUGCGGUCACACUACUUAUACAACUUGCAAAAACAGUCUGUAGACACUGUCUUCUAAUGUCGGCAGCGAACGCCGUGUCUUCUGUUG